UGCUGUAGCCCUAGCCACGGUCGAGGCAAGGGCCUGCCGCCUCUGGAAACGGUUUCCCCUGGGGAGCGCAAAGGCUCUGUGCUCCUCCAGCUAAAACAAAAGCAAACAUAGGAGCCAUCACCAUCCCGGUUUUGCAGACACAGUACACUUCUUUGUUUGGGCCAUUUAGAGCUACAUGAUGAAUUCCACCACUCCCAGGUUUAAGCUAUGCCAUAGGCAAAAGGAAACCUGGAAACUGUGGGACUGGCAGGGCUCAAUGAACAACCUAAUCUGGAUUUCAUUCACAAACAGCAGCUCAUACACAGAGAAAGGGCUGGUGUGUUUCACCAAAUCGGAACUGGAGGAUGUGAGCUGAUGAUCUCCAUGCCAUUCUGCUGUGGCCUCUCACACUGAGAGCACUGCUGAUUUUGAUCACUGUUCCUGCCUUCUGAAGUGUCAUAGAUCUCCCACGAUCUGUUAGAAGCUAGAGGAAGAAGGCAAGUCCUUAAAAUUGUGCUACUGACAUGAAGAAAGCCUGGGGAUGAGCUCUUUCAUCUGAUGGUUCCCCCUGCCCAGAUCCAAG
rnacentral:lncRNA from 14 species